rnacentral:rRNA from 1 species
UACGUAGGGUGCAAGCGUUGUCCGGAAUUAUUGGGCGUAAAGAGCUCGUAGGCGGUUUGUCGCGUCUGCUGUGAAAACCCGAGGCUCAACCUCGGGCCUGCAGUGGGUACGGGCGAGACUAGAGUGCAGUAGGGGAGACUGGAAUUCCUGGUGUAGCGGUGGAAUGCGCAGAUAUCAGGAGGAACACCGAUGGCGAAGGCAGGUCUCUGGGCCGUAACUGACGCUGAGGAGCGAAAGCAUGGGGGAGCGAACAGG